AGGUUAACUGUAAAGAAAUAAGAAGUGAAGGAAUGGACAAGACAGAGUCUGUCUGGGCAAAGAUCACACUGGGUAAGAAAGCUACUAGAGCCUCCCCUGAGAUAGUGCUUG